AAGACUAUACUUUCAGGGAUCAUUUCUAUAGUUCAUUACUAGAGAAGUUUCUCUGAACGUGUAGAACACCAGAAACCACAAGGAGGAGGCGCAGCGUUCUCUCCUGAGCGUGAAGCCGAGUCCUGGUGUUGCUUCACUGCAACUGCCAUUUGCCAUGGAUGAUUGUUUUUCUCUUCCUUUGGGAGAGUAAGAGGGAAAGGAUGCAGUCUGAGUGGU
ensembl:snoRNA U3 Small nucleolar RNA U3